GACGAACGCUGGCGGCGUGCUUAACACAUGCAAGUCGAACGGAAAGGCCCUGCUUUUGUGGGGUGCUCGAGUGGCGAACGGGUGAGUAACACGUGAGUAACCUACCCUUGACUUUGGGAUAACUUCAGGAAACUGGGGCUAAUACCGGAUAGGAGCUCCUGCUGCAUGGUGGGGGUUGGAAAGUUUCGGCGGUUGGGGAUGGACUCGCGGCUUAUCAGCUUGUUGGUGGGGUAGUGGCUUACCAAGGCUUUGACGGGUAGCCGGCCUGAGAGGGUGACCGGCCACCUUGGGCCUGAGAUACGGCCCAGACUCCUACGGGAGGCAGCAGUGGGGAAUCUUGCACAAUGGGCGGAAGCCUGAUGCAGCAACGCCGCGUGCGGGAUGACGGCCUUCGGGUUGUAAACCGCUUUCGCCUGUGACGAAGCGUGAGUGACGGUAAUGGGUAAAGAAGCACCGGCUAACUACGUG
rnacentral:rRNA from 1 species